rnacentral:lncRNA from 1 species
GAGCCAGAGAAGAAACGAGAGGAAGAGAUUUAGUCAGGAAACAGAAACAAAUCACCAUAAGAUGAAUGAAGAAUGUCUGAGCAGAGGGGAAGAAAGUCAGUUGAAAAUUGCAGAAGACUGAAUUUAAUACUGGUCACAGCUUUCAGGCACUGUCAUCCUGGACUUACUCCAAGAGAAGGGGGAUUGUGAAGAGAGGUUGUUUGUGAACAGACACUUAGAGAAACUUAAAUGGAGUCACAGGCAGCUCCAGCAGGACCAGGACAUCAGGAUGUUCUAGUUCUGUUUACAAGUCAUUCUAUUUGUCGUCUAACAACAUCCUCAGUGCCUCCAGCAAUCUGUGGAAAACAAAUCAGGACAAGCUUCCAGCUGAGCAUAAACGCCAUAUCAUAUUUUCCUACACGCUAACUGCUUGCCCAACUGCUGUCACGUUUUUGCAGGCGAGUGCAGGUUCGAAGGAGCUGAAGGCGUUCGUGGUUCCUGCCCUGCGAGGCCGAAGCUGUGGCGCCCGUCUCCUCACGGGCCCGUC